rnacentral:rRNA from 1 species
GAGUUUGAUUAUGGCUCAGGAUGAACGCUGGCGGCGUGCGUAACACAUGCAAGUUGGACGACGGUAUCAUGAAGUGGUAACACGGAGUGAUAUACGGAGUAGCGGACGGGUGAGUAUAACAUGAGAAGCUGUCCUGUCGAGGGGGAUAGCGUUCGGAAACGGACCCUAAUACCCCAUAGGCCUUAGGGUUAAAGCAGCGAUGCGCGACAGGGGGUGCUCGUGACCUAUCAGCUGGUUGGUGAGGUAAUGGCUCACCAAGGCGACGACGGGUAGCCGGCCUGAGAGGGUGACCGGCCACACUGGAACUGAGAUACGGUCCAGACUCCUACGGGAGGCAGCAGUGGGGAAUAUUGGGCAAUGGGAGGAAUCCUGACCCAGCGACGCCGCGUGAACGAAGAAGGCCUUCGGGUCGUAAAGUUCUUUUAUGUGGGAAGAAGGAAGUGACG